AUUGAACGCUGGCGGCAGGCCUAACACAUGCAAGUCGAGCGGAGCGGCGGACGGGUGAGUAAUGCCUAGGAAUCUGCCUGGCAGUGGGGGAUAACGUCCGGAAACGGGCGCUAAUACCGCAUACUAUCAGAUGAGCCUAGGUCGGAUUAGAUAGUUGGUGGGGUAAAGGCCUACCACGGCGACGAUCCGUAACUGGUAGGAGAGGCUGAUCAGUCACACUGGAACUGAGACACGGUCCAGAAUCCUAGGGGAGGCAGCAGUGGGGAAUAUUGGACAAUGGGCGAAAGCCGGAUCAAGCCAUGCCGCGUGUGUGAAGAAGGUCGUCGGAUUGUAAAGCACUUUGAGUUGGGAGGCGUUACCAACAGAAUAAGCACCGGAUAACUUCGUGCCAGCAGCCGCGGUAAUAC
rnacentral:rRNA from 1 species